GUCUUCUUGAUUAUUUAGGAAGUCGGGCCUGCCCAGUGAAUUUUUUUAACGGCCGCGGUAUUUUGACCGUGCAAAGGUAGCAUAAUCAUUAGUCUUUUAAUAGGGGGCUGGAAUGAAAGGUUUGACGAAACAUUAGCUGUCUCAUUUUGAAUAAUUAGAAUUUUACUUUUGAGUUAAAAGGCUCAAAUUUUGUUGGAAGACGAGAAGACCCUAUAGAGCUUUACAUUUGAAUAGAUGAAUUAAUUUUUGUCUUAUAACUUAUUUUCUUCUUUUUACUUGUUUUGUUGGGGUGACAAAAAAUAUAAAUUUAACUUUUUUAUUAAAACCCCAUUUAUUUAUGAUUAUUAGAUCCAUUCUUAUUGAUUAUUAGACUAAGUUACCUUAGGGAUAACAGCGUAAUCUUCUUUUGAAGUUCAAAUUUACAAGAAGGGUUGCGACCUCGAUGUUGGAUUAAGAUUAUAGUCGGGUGCAGUAGCUUGACGAUUAGGUCUGUUCGACCUUUAAAUUCUUACAUGAUCUGAGUUCAGACCGG
rnacentral:rRNA from 1 species